rnacentral:rRNA from 1 species
CCUACGGGCGGCAGCAGUGAGGAAUAUUGGACAAUGGGGGGAACCCUGAACCAGCGACGCCGCGUGAGUGAAGAAGUAUUUCUGUAUGUAAAGCUCUAUCAGCAGGGAAGAAAGAAAUGACAGUACCUGACUAAGGAGCCGCGGCUAACUACGUGCCAGCAGCCGCGGUAAUACGUAGGGGGGAAGCGUUAUCCGGAUUUACUGGGUGUAAAGGGAGCGUAGACGGCGAGGUAAGUCUGAAGUGAAAGGGGGGGGCCCAACCCCCGGACUGGUUUGGAAACUGGUUGGCUGGAGUGGAGGAGAGGUAAGUGGAAUGCGUAGUGUAGCGGUGAAAUGCGUAGAUAUCAGGAGGAACACCAGUGGCGAAGGCGGCUUACCGGACUUUAACUGACGUUGAGGCACGAAAGCGUGGGGAGCAAACAGGAUUAGAUACCCUUGUAGUC